rnacentral:rRNA from 1 species
CCCUUGUUAUUAGUUGCCAGCAUUUAGUUGGGCACUCUAAUGAGACUGCCGGUGAUAAACCGGAGGAAGGUGGGGACGACGUCAGAUCAUCAUGCCCCUUAUGACCUGGGCAACACACGUGCUACAAUGGGAAGUACAACGAGUCGCAAACCGGCGACGGUAAGCUAAUCUCUUAAAACUUCUCUCAGUUCGGACUGGAGUCUGCAACUCGACUCCACGAAGGCGGAAUCGCUAGUAAUCGCGAAUCAGCAUGUCGCGGUGAAUACGUUCCCGGGUCUUGUACACACCGCCCGUCAAAUCAUGGGAGUCGGAAGUACCCAAAGUCGCUUGGCUAACUUUUAGAGGCCGGUGCCUAAGGUAAAAUCGAUGACUGGGAUUAAGUCGUAACAAGGUAGCCGUAGGAGAACCUGCGGCUGGAUCACCUCCUUUCUAAGGA